UUGCUUCCACAUCAUCUGUACUAAAAUUGGAACAACACUGAGAAGAUUAGCAUGGCCUCCAGAAAGGAUGACAUGCAAGUUUCUGAAAGUGUUUCAGCUUUA